rnacentral:lncRNA from 1 species
GUAUCGCGCAAGUCGCUAUACUAGUUUAAAUGAAGAGAUAUGCGAGAGAUCGAAUCUCCGACCACUUGAUCAAUGACUUGGAAUACUGGCCAACUACACAAUAGGGGUUUUCUUGUUUUGUCAAAAGUGGAAAGAAAUGAAGUGAUUUUCGGCUAUAAAUGGUCACCUUCGUUGUUUGGUUCACCAUAAUACGACCGUAGUCGAAAUUUUGAUUUUCUAAAACAAUUUAUUGGAGAAAAGUGAGAAAAAAAUAAUAAACUUAUUUUCAGAAUAGAUUACGACCUCUCUUAUCUCAAUAUUUGAUUGUUUAUCUUUUAUUUAGUUUGGAUGUUUGAAAUAUAAUUAGUUAAGUUCUAAUAGAUAUGUUUUUUUUUUUUUUUUUUAACUUUGCAUAUUUGAUAUGAUGAAAUUUGAUUAUUUGGGUGUUAGUAUUUCUUUUUCUCUAGUGUUUUAUUGUUGUUUUAUUAAUUCCAAAGGCCACAUCUAUACUACACGAAAAAAUUAAAUUAGUUGUUUUCAAAUAAAUUUUUUUUUUAAUUAUAUAGGGAUAAUUAUAUAUUUUAUUUAUUUAUUAUAUUAUAAUUUAUAUUUAUUAAGUAUAUAAAACACAAAAAUAUCUUUUUUGAGAGAUAGGUAGUACGUUACCCGCUUCGUUUAUUUUAUUUAGAAAUAAACUUAGCUGGAAAUGUGAAUUAACUAGGAUUCGAACUUGGAUCUCGGGUACAAACUAUCAAACCCUUUGCCACUUGCUCUAGGAACGGUCGGUUAAAACACAAAAAUAUCAUAAAACUAAAGAAUAUAUAUUGGAGUUAAAUUAACCAUGGUGUGGAAAUUCAAUAAUUUUCGAUAAAACAAACAAAUGAAGUAAAGAGCUUCAGUUUUUAUGUCAUUAACUUUCUUUCCAACGAACUGUGAUAAUUUUGUGACAUUACUAGAAUUCACGAUAUCCCAUAUAUAAGGUAUAAUAAGACUAAAUAUUUUAACUCGGUCGACGACUAUAGUAUUUGGACGGUAAUUAGGGUUAACAGGUU